CUCCCCCCGCGGGGAGGCGGAAACGGCGGCGGCGGCGGGGGCGGCGGCGGCGGACGACGACCACCGCUCUCUUGCCGACCUCGCCGGUCUCGCCCGCUUGCGGGCUUGGAGACCCCCUAACCGUGACGGUGUGUACUACGACCUCCCCUUCGCUCUCGGAGUAAGCGCCUCCUCCUCUUCCUCCUCGGAAAACCGGCGUGGAAAAGAAUCUCCCCCUGCCUCCUCCCACCCUGCUUGUUGUGGUCGGGUCGGGUCGGUCGAGGGGUUUGACGAUUGGCUUCCACCGCCACGGCUUCCGGGAGAGCUUUGAGAAGAGAAAGAAAGAGCAAAAGAGAGUGCGCGGGCGCGCUGGCAGCCAGCCCCCCUUUGAAUCUCGAAUCUUAGAUCCGGUGGUCCGGAGGCCAGUGUGUGUGCUUGGCAACAGGCGUACUCGUUCGCCGACGCCGGCGGUAGCCCGGGGAAGAGCUUUCUUCUCUUUUUUAGGCUGCUGGAGGCCCCCAAGUUCGUUCACUUUGAGUGGGGGUCGUUGGCCGUAACAGCCAUACGUGAGAUUGUGAUCUGUUGGGAGCAAUCCUCGCUGUUGCGAUCGCCACCGGUUCGCCGUAGAGCACCGCGCAAAUAAGCGCUUGGUGUCCCGUGCGCUACCGCCGGCCCUUGAAAAGGUGGAUAGGGUAAACCCCCUCCGGUACCAACCAACCAACCAAACCAAGAGAGAGAAAAAACGAAAACGAUGAUGAUGAGGGGGGCGGCGGCAUUGUGCGCGGCUCCGCAAUGCGCUUCUCGCUUUGCUCGUCGAACGCUCCAGGCCGAAAGGAGAGCGAUCCCUGUGGGGUGGAGGUCGAGAGGACACGCGCCGCCGCCGCAGGGGCGGUGGUGGUUAUUUAAAACCUUUAAAACCUAGGCAGGUCUUCUAGCAGAGAACGGGCCCUCGGGAGUUUUCUUGAGAUGCCAACCCAGCACGCCCGCGUCGCGGGGGGGCAGUCCGUACCUUACUCCGCAGCAGGUCUCCAAGGUGUUCAGCCUCUGGUCGAUAGAUCAAUGUAGGUAAGGGAAGUCGGCAAGUUAGAUCCGUAACUUCGGGACAAGGAUUGGCUCUGAGGGUCGAGCCAUGCCGGGCCCACAGCCGGAAGCGGUCCCUCGUUCUCCUGGCGGGCGGCCGCCGGCGACGCGCGGAGGCGGCGGCGAGGAGGGGACCCAAGGGUGCCCGCGGCAUCGGCGGCCUGCGGCGCCGCGGCGCUUCGGCCCGCUCCGAGGGAGAAGGACUGGGCGAGGGGCGGCCUCUCACGAGGUCGCUCCGAGCUCGGACCCGACCCCGCAGGGGCGGUCGCCGGGCCCGCGGCCGCUCUGCGCUCCACCGCCGCCGGGUGCCCUCCCCUCCGCUCGAGCCGCGCAGCCCGAGCGCCCGCCGGCAGCAGGUGCCCCCGCCGUCGCGGGUCGGGACCAACGCGGAAGGCGCCUCUCGGGCAAAGGCCGGGGUUUCCCUCCCGUUUCCCCGGCCGCGGCUGGCAACAGACGGCCGUCUCAGAACUGGCACGGACCAGGGGAAUCCGACUGUUUAAUUAAAACAAAGCAAUGCGAUGGUCGGUGAUCGAUGCUGACGCAUUGUGAUUUCUAUCUAGCGAACCCACAGGCAGGGGAACGGGCCUGCAGUUAACGGCGGGGAAAGAAGACCCUGUUGAGCUUGACUCUAGUUUGGCUUUGUAGAGAGGCACCUGAGGUGUAGCAUAAGUGGGAGGUCGCUCACGCGGCCGACGAUGAAAUACCACUACUCUGGUCGUCUCUCUACUUACUCGGUGAUGCGGGAGCGGGAGGCGUGACGGGGUUCGGGUCCCGCGAGCGGGGCGGAGCGCGGCUUCGGUCGUGUCUCUCCCCCUCCGGCCCGUCUUCCCUAUGCCUCUACCGAUUUUAGACUGCAAGUGACAUGAACAAGAGCGGCCGCCUCCCCGGGGGGCGAAAGGGGCUUCUCCGCGCGGGGGCGGUCGUCGCCGCCGCUCGCGGCGCGCGUCGCGACCCGUUCCGAGGACAGAGCCAGAUGGGGAGUUUGACUGGGGCGGUACAUCUGUCAAACGAUAACGCAGAUGUCCCAAGGUCAGCUCAGCGUGGACAGAAACCACGUGUAGAGCCCAAGGGCAAAUGCUGGCUUGAUCCGGACUCUCAGUACGAGCACGGACUGCGAAAGCACGGCCUAGCGAUCCUUUUGACUUUUACGAGUUUUAAGCGAGAGGUGUCAGAAAAGUUACCACAGGGAUAACUGGCUUGUGGCGGCCAAGCGUUCAUAGCGACGUCGCUUUUUGAUCCUUCGAUGUCGGCUCUUCCUAUCAUUGUGAAGCAGUUUUCACCAAGCGUAGGAUUGUUCACCCUCUAAUAGGGAACGUGAGCUGGGUUUAGACCGUCGCGAGACAGGUUAGUUUUACCCUACCGUUAACAACGUCGCCACGUCGCGACAGGAGCCCCGCCCAGUACGAGAGGAACGGUGGGUCCGGACCAAUGGUGCACCUCCUGCCCGACAGGCCACCAGGGGAGGGCAGCCACGUCCGGCAGGUUUUACCCCUGAAAGCCUCUCAAGGGGGAAACCGCGCUGAGCGUUAAGCGACGUGAUCGCGUGCGGCGCAACGGAUCGGCGAGUUUACUAGACUGAAGAGUUUAGACGCGAACCCGGCGAGAGCCAAGGGGGGCGGACUGUGCCCAUGCAAGGGGAAGUCACGCGGCU
rnacentral:rRNA from 1 species